rnacentral:rRNA from 1 species
GGAUGCGAUCAUACCAGCACUAAAGCACCGGAUCCCAUCAGAACUCCGAAGUUAAGCGUGCUUGGGCGAGAGUAGUACUAGGAUGGGUGACCUCCUGGGAAGUCCUCAUGCUGCAUUCC